UCCCAAAUCUAAAGCUGGAAGGGAUGAAGUGGGGCCAGGAAGAGGUUCCCCUGCAUCCCAUGGGAAUCUUUCCCAGCAGGCUGUCCCAGCAAGGUCCAAGGAGCAGCGUGGACACAAUGCCCAGUGUGCAGGGCUCCCACCUCUUGGUGCCCACAGGAGGCCCCCAGCCCAGCUGGCGGACAGGACUCCUUCCCCUCCUCCAGUCUAGGGCACACAGCCCUGCCCGGAGUUCCAUGCCAUCUUCCCUUUGCCUGUGUUUUGUGCGAAGGAGCAUUCAAAUGUUGGACAAAACGGCUUUAAUUCAACUUGAUCAUCUUCUGAAAAAGAAAAAAAAAUUAAAGGAA